AAGCUAGGAUAAUAGGGGGCAUAAUUACCUUCACCUCCACCUUCAUUUGAACCGCCACCAAUGCUUGAGUGGCUAGAGUAUGGGGGAGUAGAAUAUGGAUCGUCUUGAUAGCACCUCCAAAAUUUAUUUUGUUCUUUCCUCCAAUACUUAGGAGUCAUCUUGGAUAGAUCCAUCUCCAAUAUCUCCAUUUUGGACUUCAUCAAUGUCACCGCAUGUAUCUUCUCAUACUUGAUCGCUAUCAUCACUGUAACAUCCUCAAUCUGGAGAGCAAAGCAGGAUAGGAGGGGCUUGGGUAAGUCUACCUCUGUUUUGACCCUAACAAAUUAGGACCAGAUGCCUCGUUUGAUCUCAGCCCUAUCAACCUUCGAGUAUACCACAAAGUGAGUUUCAUACAUUAGCUUGAUCUGUUCCUCGGUACGACAGUCCAUUGGAAGAUUGAAUAUCUAGAUCCAUAGCUUUGUUGAUUCUAGAGAUACUCUCUCUGGCAUGGGUUGUCUAUCCCACCUUUUCAUCACAAGCAGAGAGUUCGUUAUUACCCACGGCCGCUUAUCCUAGAUCUUAAUCAGUUGCCUCUCAUUUUUGAAAGCAAAAAUGAAAUAGUUCCCCUGAAUUUGUCAAAUAUUAAUGUUGCCUGCCUGACUCCAAGGUGCUCUGGUUGCUUCUUUCAUUAUCCCAGUUUGGAUUCCUAUGGUCGUCAUCAUCCUCCCCACUCAAUAGAAAUAGAGAGGCGUUCCUCCCUCCUUAGUCAUAGGUUGGAUACGCAUCGUUGGAAUCUUUGCUUCAAUGUUUUGAUUUUGUGCUUGGUGGAGGAGAUGUGCUAGAUCCAUGAUGUGCAAGUACGGUUGGUUUUGUAUGAGAAGGUUAUGUGUUCUUUUCUUGUUGUUAAGAAUUCUAUUGCUGGAGUGGAUGGUAUACGAGUGGUCGAAUCUCUUUCUAAAGGUGGAUUUAGUUUUCCUUCCUCUUUCUCCAAUCUUUAAUGCUCCACACGGAUAGUCAAUUGUUGCUUUCCUGUUAGGUAGUUGGUGGGCAUUGAUUUCCUAGGAAGGAAACUUGUUAGGUUGAAUCUUUGAUGAGUUGUUCUCUUACUGUGUCUUGUCGCCUUUAUUCCUCAGCUAAUUUUUUAUUCUACCUCUGCCAUCAAAAUCUUGGGAGAGGCUGACAUGAGUUGUAUUUGCCAAUAUGAUGUUCUUCUUUUUCUCAGUGGUCAUAAAGACUCCUAUUUUGCUUUUGUAGAUCUAAAUUUUCCUUGCAGAUUUCUCUUAGAUUCGUUGCUUCCUCAGUUCCCCACCAUUAAUAAAGUAGCUGUAAACAUUAAAGGCAUUCCCAUGGGGAAGAAUGUGAAUAGCAUCCAUAUGGGAUGAGAAGAACACUUUGCCUUGGGUCAGACAAACCAAAGGAAAAUGAAGGAUGUUGGAAGAAAACAGAUUCAUUUUUUACUAACCAUUGUUUUAGUAUGCUGGAUUUCACCUAUUUUUUGUUCUUCUGUAGUGACUGUCAGCAACCUCAGUUAAAUCUUCAUCUUUAUCUUCACUAGUAUUCAAAGUAGCAAGAUAUGCCUUUUCUUUCU
rnacentral:lncRNA from 1 species